GAACAUCGUCACUUUUGUGAAGAACGAGCUGAAGAGAGUCCAGAGGGAGUGAUUACUCUAUGGAUCGUCCUAUUAAGUUUAAAGAUGGACAACCUGCUGAUGGAAGAGUUCAGCAGCAGAGCUCAGAGGUUCCCAGUGAUCAGUCUGCAC